CAGUCGCCACGGGAAUACGGAGGGUGCAAGCGUUAAUCGGAAUUACUGGGCGUAAAGCGCACGCAGGCGGUUUGUUAAGUCAGAUGUGAAAUCCCCGAGCUUAACUUGGGAACUGCAUUUGAAACUGGCAAGCUAGAGUCUUGUAGAGGGGGGUAGAAUUCCAGGUGUAGCGGUGAAAUGCGUAGAGAUCGGGAGGAACAUCAGUGGCGAAGGCGGCCAUCUGGGACAACACUGACGCUGAGGCACGAAAGCGUGGGGAGCAAACAGGAUUAGAUACCCCGGUAGUCCCUGUCUCUUAUAC
rnacentral:rRNA from 1 species